rnacentral:lncRNA from 14 species
CCCAGCCCCCCUGUCCCAGUCGCCGUCCCCCCUUCCCUUGGUGGCUCUCGCAGCCGGCUCCGCUCCCGGCUCGGCCGCUCUUCGCGGGAGCGCUCUGACAGCACCUGCAGGACAGCGCGGGCACUCGGAGCCGGGAAGGGGAAUAAGCAAGAAGACACGGUUUCAACAUCAAGAUACUGAAGCUUCAGCUGGAGUUCUACUGCUGUUCGUACAAAGAUUCAAGAGAAUAUCCUAGAGAAAGCAAAGUUUUACUCCUUUUUAUACAAUUUUUUUGUGAUAUAUUUAUGUGUGUGAGCUCUGUAUGAGCAAAUAUAUACAUGUAAGUAAGUACAUCUGUUUGUUUAAAUACCAGGUGUUGUGCUUUGCUGUCCCCUAACUAACACCAAUUGCUGUGCUGCCUUUGUAAAUACGCUGUACUGGCUGAUUCUUUUGCAUUCUUUGUGCUAUCUUUGCUUAUGCUGAAUAGCAGCUGACACUUUAAUUGGGAUGGCUGAGCUCAGUGCAUUUGCCUUUGGAAUUGGACACUUUUCAGUGCAAAGAGAGGGUACCACAGGCUGACUCUUCUGCCUUUAUCCUCAAUCAAAACUCCAUUAAAUGAGACCUAUAGUUUGUGGCAUUCUCCCUGGGACAUUCUCCCUUGCAUUGAAAUCCAUGGGAAAGGCUGGAGACUUCAUUUUUAAGGUUAAUUAGGUCCUGAAAAGGAUUAACUGGAUUUGUUUUAUCUAUAUUUUUUUAUCCUAUUUUUAAAAAGCUUUUUAGUUACCUUCAUCUUUGCUGGUGUAUUCAGAUACACUUUUCCCUUUACGGGAAAAAUUUUAUGUGCUUUUGAGUUAAUUAAAAGCCAUUUUGAUAGACAGACUGUAAUUCUCAUUUUAAACAAAAAUGAGCAUUGUGCUUGACAUUGUGUUAAAAUUUAGGCAUCAGAUAUUGCUAUAUAUUAAUGUGAGUCAUACAGGUAAUCUUUAUUUUUGUUUAACCAACUGCUAACAUUAUUCACUGCUUAAGCACUAAAUGUGAAUUUGAUUUUCAGUUGGCUACACUGUGGAAAAUAAAAGAACAAAUAGUUUAAGGCAUAACCAUUUAAAAAUUCUUUGGUGGAGGUGGCAGUUUCAGAAGCCAAUUUUUUUUUUUUUUUUUUUUUUUUUUUUCAGGUUCCCAUAAUGAAUCUGCUGUGGACCCUACUGUUGAUUCAGAAAGGUAAAUUCUCUCCUUUGGCUUUUGGCUGCAUGAAAAUAUUUCUGUAUAGAUAUGAUAACAAUAGUUAAGUGACCUGCUUGUGGGCCAGAAAAAACAUCCCCUGUGUGUCCCUAAAGAGGGCUCUCAAAGCCUGCCUCACUCUGCCA